rnacentral:piRNA from 1 species
UGAUAACUUUCUCGUGUGUUCGGUAUAC